GUCUCUGUGGCUCAGUCGGUAGAGCGUUGGUCUCAUAUUAUCCAUCAAUAUGACUCGGGCAUCCAGCCAGGGAUAUCCAAAGGUCGCAAGUUCGAGCCUUGCCAGGGACA
rnacentral:tRNA from 2 species